rnacentral:lncRNA from 1 species
CCUCCCCCCUCCCUCCCCUAGUGGUCCUUACCCUCCUCUUCCUUCCUGCCUAUGUAGCUUCGGAACGCGAACUUCUGUUUCCUGUACCCGGCUGCCGGCGGACUGAAGGGAAGCGCUGACUGAGUGAGCACUUCCUCUCAGUCGGACGGCAGCCGGGUACAGGAAACAGAGGUUCCUGUCCCGCGCCGCCUGGCCACGCUACAUUGAGAGACCAGCAGGAGGAAGCGCUUUGCGCUUCCCUCCUGCCGAUCACUCAAAUCCGGCCGCCCUCCAUACAGCAGUGCUGCGCCGCCUGAGGCUUGCAAAAGUACUCAGGCGGCGCAGCAUGAGGAGCUGCACCGGUGAUUCCUAGGUCGCCUUACAGGUAGCGCCGGCCCUGGGUGUAACCAGGUACAUUUAGAAAGGGACAUUUUCUACUGAAAUCUGCACUUUUCGCAAGAAAAACAAGUAAAAGAGGACACACUCUUCACAUAUAGAGGUUUUCAGCAAGCUUAAGUGCUUUAGGGAUCUGGAGAGUACCUCCAAUUCGAGACUUCUGAACACUGCACAAUAAAGUGACACUAACACAAUAAUUUAGAUUUGUGUCUCUGAAAAAACAUUUGUACCUUGCUGAUAUAUGAAUUCAAUAAUUAUGCUAAAUUAAACUUUAUGUAAAAAAAUAAGAUAUUUUGUCAACUAAGUAUUUGCACUAACAGUUUAAAAGAAAUAUGCAGUGUGUUUUAGGGUUUAAAAUUAGAUUGUGUGCAGUGAAAUCACUAAACUUGGUAUUGUGAAUAAAUAAUAAGAGAAUUGAACAUUUUAGGCCAAAAUGGGAAAACAAAAAAUCCAACUUAUCUAUUUUCCACAACGCUAUAGGCCUAAACAUUCCUUCAGUGAUUACAGACAAAGGAUACAGGUGCUGAAAGUAAAGUGUGGAGAAUAGAACUAUAUAGCUGUAUGCAUCUAGCAGGAGUUACAAAUCUCCUUCCUUCAGUAAUUCCUCAGUAGCUGCAGUAUGCGCUAAUUUAGAUACUGUGGUUCCAUUUUACUGUCUUCCACUAAUUUCCACUAAUAUUGACAAGAUGAAAUUGUAUAUUUCAGGCAGAUGAGUUAAAUAUUUAUCACAAUGGCAUUGUUAAGUGUACUAAUUGAGUUCUUUAUUAACAAUCUUAAUAUCAUUAUUUAACAACUGCUCCUAACCAAAGCAGAAGAAAAAAAAUGCAAGAUUUACUGUUACCUUCCAGAUGAAUGUUAACACAAAGGAAUUAUAUUCAAGUAUGUACAGGUUUUUGUUUUUUUUAAAUAUUUGGCAAAUUUUUUUUACAAAAAAGUGAAAUUGCUGUCUUGCGACCACAGAUUAAGGUUGCAGCCUGAGUAACAAGUUAUUCCCAGUAUUCAUGCAAGUGGAGCUAUGUUCACGAUAUUAAUGGAUUUGUUUUGGCGAGUUGACAACUUGCUUAGUAAAUAAAGGGCAAGGUACCCGAGUUUUAGAAAAUCUACAACUCAGAGAUGGAUUUUUUUUAUGGCCUACAUUUUUCAAAUCACUUGUCAAGUGUCAACCCAACGAAACUCAGUACUGAAUAAACACGUUGAUGUUAUUUCUAACUAAAGCAUACUUGUUGACAAAUGUACUCAUUUGUAUGUACUGCAGAAGCUGACGUUUUUAACUUCAACAAACAUUCAUAGCAUAGGGGCUUGCAGGUAACUACUGGCUUAUUACUUUGGACAAAAAUUACCCCUUUGUCAGACUACCAGCAUGCUCUUCAUCUGAAGUCAGAUAAAAGUAAUUUAUUUGAUGUAAAUGUAUUAUAAACACCAGACAUAGUAUAAAAACAAUAUUCAUUUAUUGUAUACUACGUAGGCUAUGAUUAAGAAAAUGCUACUGGCCACCACUGAGGGAGUUGUCAAAAGUCCACUUUGCUCUAGGUAUUAUUUAGUCACAUAAUAAGUAUUGCUGAUGACUUAUGUUUUACCACCUAUUAGUAGAGCUUAUCUUUCUGAAUAUUGAUACACUGGGAAGAAAGCAGAAAGCUGGGACUAUGGAUCCAUUGAACUGAAUAUGAAUUAAGAAUGAAAUAAAAUGAGCAAAAACGU